rnacentral:rRNA from 1 species
GUACCAUAACCGACACAGGUGGGUAAGUAGAGUAUACUAAGGGGCGCGAGAUAACUCUCUCUAAGGAACUCGGCAAAAUAACUCCGUAACUUCGGGAGAAGGAGUGCCUUAUUCUUAAGGUUGCAAUAACAAGAUCCAAGCAACUGUUUAUCAAAAACACAGGUCUCCGCUAAGUCGUAAGACGAUGUAUGGGGGCUGACGCCUGCCCAGUGCCAGAAGGUUAAAGAAGUCGGUUAGCAAUAGCAAAGCUGGUAACUGAAGCCCUGGUGAACGGCGGCCGUAACAAUAACGGUCCUAAGGUAGCGAAAUUCCUUGUCGGGUAAGUUCCGACCCGCACGAAAGGCGUAAUGAUUUGGAUGCUGUCUCGGAGAGGGGCUCGGUGAAAUAGACUUGUCUGUGAAGAUGCGGACUACCUGCACCAGGACAGAAAGACCCUAUGAAGCUUUACUGUAACUUGAAAUUGAAAUUGGACUUUAUUCGCGCAGUAUAGGUGGGAGGCGUUGAUUAUAAUCUUGUGGGAUUAUUGGAGCCAUCAGUGAGAUACCACUCUUGUAAUGUUAGAUUUCUAACUUUGAAUCAUUAUCUGGUCAAAGGACAGUUUCAGGCGGGCAGUUUGACUGGGGCGGUCGCCUCCUAAACGGUAACGGAGGCGUACAAAGGUUUCCUCUGAACGGUUAGAAAUCGUAUCUAGAGUGUAAAGGCAUAAGGAAGCUUGACUGUGAGACCUACAAGUCGAGCAGGGACGAAAGUCGGUCUUAGUGAUCUGACGGUACUGAGUGGAAAGGCCGUCACUCAACGGAUAAAAGUUACUCUAGGAUAACAGGCUGAUCUCCCCCAAGAGUUCACAUCGACGGGGAGGUUUGGCACCUCGAUGUCGGCUCAUCGCAUCCUGGGGCGGUAGUACGUCCCAAGGGUUGGGCUGUUCGCCCAUGAAAGCGGUACGCGAGCUGGGUUCAGAACGUCGUGAGACAGUUCGGUCCAUAUCCGGUGUAGGCGCUAGAAUAUUGAGAGGAGCCUUCUUUAGUACGAGAGGACCGAGAAGGACAUACCUCUGGUGUACCAGUUAUCGUGCCAACGGUAAACGCUGGGUAGCUAUGUAUGGAGUGGAUAACCGCUGAAAGCAUCUAAGUGGGAAGCCCACCUCAAGAUAAGUAUUCUCAUCACGUAAGUGAGUAAGGUCACGGUAAGACUAACCGUUUGAUAGGCAUUAAGUGUAAGUACAGUAAUGUAUGUGCUGAGAUGUCCUAAUAGACCGAGGACUC